CGCUAUCACUCCUACGGGGAGGCAGCAGUAGGAAUCUUCCACAAUGGGCGCAAGCCUGGUGGAGCAACACCGCGUGAGUGAAGAAGGGUUUCGGCUCGUAAAGCUCUGUUGUUAAAGAAGAACACGUAUGAGAGUAACUGUUCAUACGUUGACGGUAUUUAACCAGAAAGUCACGGCUAACUACGUGCCAGCAGCCGCGGUAAUACGUAGGUGGCAAGCGUUAUCCGGAUUUAUUGGGCGUAAAGAGAGUGCAGGCGGUUUUCUAAGUCUGAUGUGAAAGCCUUCGGCUUAACCGGAGAAGUGCAUCGGAAACUGGAUAACUUGAGUGCAGAAGAGGGUAGUGGAACUCCAUGUGUAGCGGUGGAAUGCGUAGAUAUAUGGAAGAACACCAGUGGCGAAGGCGGCUACCUGGUCUGCAACUGACGCUGAGACUCGAAAGCAUGGGUAGCGAACAGGAUUAGAUACCCUGGUAG
rnacentral:rRNA from 1 species